rnacentral:rRNA from 1 species
GACGAACGCUGGCGGCGUGCUUAACACAUGCAAGUCGAACGGAAAGGCCUGCUUUCCCUUGUGGAUUGCGGGUACUCGAGUGGCGAACGGGUGAGUAACACGUGAGUGAUCUGCCCCCAACUUGGGUAUAAGCCUGGGAAACUGGGUCUAAUUCCCGAUAGGACUGCAGGGUGGUGCCUGUGGUGGAAAACGAUUUUCUAGUGGUUGGGGAUGAGCUCGCGGCCUAUCAGCUUGUUGGUGGGGUAAUGGCCUACCAAGGCGGCGACGGGUAGCCGGCCUGGGAUGGUAGACGGCCGCAUUGGGACUGAGAUACGGCCCAGACUCCUACGGGCGGCAGCAGUGGGGAAUAUUGCACAAUGGGCGGAAGCCUGAUGCAGCGACGCCGCGUGGGGGAUGACGGCCUUCGGGUUGUAAACUCCUUUCGACCGCGAGGAAGCCACCUGGUUGGAAGGGUGGUGACGGUAGUGGUAGAAGAAGCACCGGCUAACUACGUG